rnacentral:rRNA from 1 species
GACAGAGGCCUCGAGCGUUAGGCGGAAUCACUGGGCUUAAAGCGUGUGUAGGCGGGCCCGUAAGUGUCUUGUGAAAUCCCACGGCUCAACCGUGGAACUGCUGGGCAUACUGCGGGUCUUGGGGCAACUAGGGGCAGCCGGAACAAGCGGUGGAGCGGUGAAAUGCGUAGAUAUCGCUUGGAACGCCGAAGGUGAAAACAGGUUGCUGGGGUUGCGCCGACGCUGAGACACGAAAGCCAGGGGAGCAAACGGG